AUUGAACGCUGGCGGCAGGCCUAACACAUGCAAGUCGAGCGGAUGAAGGGAGCUUGCUCCUGGAUUCAGCGGCGGACGGGUGAGUAAUGCCUAGGAAUCUGCCUGGUAGUGGGGGAUAACGUCCGGAAACGGGCGCUAAUACCGCAUACGUCCUGAGGGAGAAAGUGGGGGAUCUUCGGACCUCACGCUAUCAGAUGAGCCUAGGUCGGAUUAGCUAGUUGGUGGGGUAAAGGCCUACCAAGGCGACGAUCCGUAACUGGUCUGAGAGGAUGAUCAGUCACACUGGAACUGAGACACGGUCCAGACUCCUACGGGAGGCAGCAGUGGGGAAUAUUGGGCAAUGGGCGAAAGCCUGAUCCAGCCAUGCCGCGUGUGUGAAGAAGGUCUUCGGAUUGUAAAGCACUUUAAGUUGGGAGGAAGAGCAGUAAGUUAAUACCUUGCUGUUUUGACGUUACCAACAGAGUAAGCACCGGCUAACUUCGUG
rnacentral:rRNA from 1 species